GUGCAGCAGUCGCGAAUUUUUCUCAAUGGGGGCAACCCUGAAGGAGCGACGCCGCGUGGAGGAUGAAGGCUUUCGGGUUGUAAACUCCUGUCAUUUGAGAACAAGUGCCAACAAGUAACUACUGUUGGCUUGAUAGUAUCAGAAGAGGAAGGGACGGCUAACUCUGUGCCAGCAGCCGCGGUAAUACAGAGGUCCCAAGCGUUGUUCGGAUUCAUUGGGCGUAAAGGGUGCGUAGGUGGCGUGGUAAGUCGGGUGUGAAAUUUCGGAGCUUAACUCCGAAACUGCAUUCGAUACUGCCGUGCUUGAGGACUGGAGAGGAGACUGGAAUUUACGGUGUAGCAGUGAAAUGCGUAGAGAUCGUAAGGAAGACCAGUGGCGAAGGCGGGUCUCUGGACAGUUCCUGACACUGAGGCACGAAGGCUAGGGGAGCAAACGGGAUUAGAUACCCCGGUAGU
rnacentral:rRNA from 1 species